GACAGAAGGUGCAAGCGUUACUCGGAAUUACUGGGCGUAAAGCGUCUGUAGGUGUCCUUCCACGUCUGGAUUUAAAUUGCGGGGCUCAACCCCGCAUCUGAUCUGGAAACGAGAGGGAUUGAGUCAUUCAGAGGCAUCUGGAAUGUCAUGUGUAGGGGUAAAAUCCGUAGAUACAUGAUGGAACGCCAAAAGCGAAGGCAGGAUGCUAGGAAUGUACUGACACUCAGAGACGAAAGCGUGGGGAGCAAAGGGG
rnacentral:rRNA from 1 species